AUACGGAGGAUGCGAGCGUUAUCCGGAUUUAUUGGGUUUAAAGGGAGCGUAGGCGGGAGCUUAAGUCAGCGGUUAAAUGGUGCGGCUCAACCGUGCCCUGCCGUUGAAACUGGGUUUCUUGAGAGUGCGAGAGGCGGAUGGAAUUCAUGGUGUAGCGGUGAAAUGCUUAGAUAUCAUGAAGAACUCCGAUUGCGAAGGCAGUCCGCUGGGGCACGUCUGACGCUGAUGCUCGAAGGUGCGGGAAUCAAACAGGAUUAGAUACCCUGGUAGUCCGCACGGUAAACGAUGAUUACCCGCUGUCGGCGGCAGACAGUCGGCGGCCAAGCGAAAGCGAUAAGUAAUCCACCUGGGGAGUACGCCGGCAACGGUGAAACUCAAAUGAAUUGACGGGG
rnacentral:rRNA from 1 species